rnacentral:rRNA from 1 species
GAUGAACGCUGGCGGCGUGCCUAAUACAUGCAAGUCGAGCGAACAGACGAGGAGCUUGCUCCUCUGCCGUUAGCGGCGGACGGGUGAGUAACACGUGGAUAACCUACCUAUAAGACUGGGAUAACUUCGGGAAACCGGAGCUAAUACCGGAUAAUAUAUUCAACCGCAUGGUUCAAUAGUGAAAGACGGUUUUGCUGUCACUUAUAGAUGGAUCCGCGCCGCAUUAGCUAGUUGGUAAGGUAACGGCUUACCAAGGCAACGAUGCGUAGCCGACCUGAGAGGGUGAUCGGCCACACUGGAACUGAGACACGGUCCAGACUCCUACGGGAGGCAGCAGUAGGGAAUCUUCCGCAAUGGGCGAAAGCCUGACGGAGCAACGCCGCGUGAGUGAUGAAGGUCUUCGGAUCGUAAAACUCUGUUAUUAGGGAAGAACAAAUGUGUAAGUAACUAUGCACGUCUUGACGGUACCUAAUCAGAAAGCCACGGCUAACUACGUG